rnacentral:rRNA from 1 species
AAUGAACGCUGGCGGCAUGCCUAACACAUGCAAGUCGAACGAAGGCUUCGGCCUUAGUGGCGCACGGGUGCGUAACGCGUGGGAAUCUGCCCUUGGGUUCGGAAUAACAGUUAGAAAUGACUGCUAAUACCGGAUGAUGUCGUAAGACCAAAGAUUUAUCGCCCAAGGAUGAGCCCGCGUAGGAUUAGCUAGUUGGUGGGGUAAAGGCCUACCAAGGCGACGAUCCUUAGCUGGUCUGAGAGGAUGAUCAGCCACACUGGGACUGAGACACGGCCCAGACUCCUACGGGAGGCAGGAGUGGAGAAUAUUGGACAAUGGGCGAAAGCCUGAUCCAGCAAUGCCGCGUGAGUGAUGAAGGGCUUAGGGUUGUAAAGCUCUUUUACCCGGGAUGAUAAUGACAGUACCGGGAGAAUAAGCACCGGCUAACUUCGUG